UACGGAGGGUGCAAGCGUUAUCCGGAUUUACUGGGUUUAAAGGGUGCGUAGGCGGUUUUAUAAGUCAGUGGUGAAAUCAACGGGCUCAACCUGUUAACUGCCAUUGAUACUGUAGAACUUGAAUUUGGUAGAGGUAGGCGGAAUGAUGCAUGUAGCGGUGAAAUGCUUAGAUAUGCUUCGGAACACCGAUUGCGAAGGCA
rnacentral:rRNA from 1 species